AUGCUCUCGCCGUCAUCUUCUCCUCAACCUUCCGUGAAACCGUCGGUCCUUCACCCUUCAACAAAUCGUCCCGCUUCAUCCACGACCCUUCCUUUCCCCUGUUCUUCUUCCCAUGUAUUCACACGCCUGCUACCCAGCCUCCAUCACCAACGCAACUUCGACCACCAAACAGUUCAACACCAAUCUACUCCUUCCGUCAUUCUUCAAUUUCACGAGCCACAUAACUACAAGCUCAACCGUCCAAACUCAUCCAUGCAACACCACCAAACAACAACAUUAACAACUGCUACCCCACUUUGUUUUCAAUUUUUCUUCUGA